rnacentral:rRNA from 1 species
CGCCUCUUGAAUUAAUAUAAGAGGUCCAGCCUGCCCAGUGACCCUGUUCAACGGCCGCGGUAUCCUAACCGUGCGAAGGUAGCGUAAUCACUUGUUCUUUAAAUGAGGACUAGUAUGAACGGCAUCACGAAGGUUAUACUGUCUCCUUUUUCUAAUCAGUGAACCUAAUCUCCCCGUGAAGAAGCGGGAAUAUAACUAUAAGACGAGAAGACCCUAUGGAGCUUAAAACAACACAGCACUUGCUAAAAAACUAAGCAUUCCCGAAUUUUUACUUUCUAGGCAACAUGACUGUAAGUUUUUGGUUGGGGUGACCACGGAGUACAAUAUAACCUCCAUGUUGAAAGAAUUUUUUCUAAGCCAAAAAUUACACUUUUAAGCAUCAAUAAAUUGACAUCUAUUGACCCAAUAUAUUUGAACAACGAACCAAGUUACCCUAGGGAUAACAGCGCAAUCCACUUCAAGAGCUCCUAUCGACAAGUGGGUUUACGACCUCGAUGUUGGAUCAGGGUUUCCCAGUGGUGCAGCCGCUACUAAAGGUUCGUUUGUUCAACGAUUAAAACCCU